CCCUUAGAUGUUCUGGGCCGCACGCGCGCUACACUGACGAAUGCAACGAGCUUAUAACCUUGGCCGAAAGGUCUGGGUAAUCUCCAAAUUUCGUCGUGAUGGGGAUAGAUUAUUGCGAUUAUUAAUCUUCAACGAGGAAUGCCUAGUAAGCGCAAGUCAUCAGCUUGCGUUGAUUACGUCCCUGCCCUUUGUACACACCGCCCGUCGCUCCUACCGAUUGAAUGGUCCGGUGAAGCGCUCGGACCGCGGCCUCUUGACGGUUCGCUGUCGAUUGGCUGUGGGAAGUUCGUUAAACCUUAUCAUUUAGAGGAAGGAGAAGUCGUANCA
rnacentral:rRNA from 1 species